UUACAUUUCAGUUAAAAGAAAUUGAUAGUACAUAUGCGGUAUAAAUUUCGGAACCUUCUCGGACAAAUUGCUGCCGGACCGUUCUGUCUCCAGUUUUAUCUACUUCAACAACAACAACAAUAAAGUCUUUAGUGCAAAAUAAGUUGGGGUAGGCUAAAGCUGAAACCCACAAGAUCUUGCAAUCAACUCAUGGUUUUGUCACAUGGAUAGCUAGUUUCCACGCACUCCUGUCCUUGGCUAGUUCUUUGGUGAUAUAACUUUUUAUCUAGUCUAACUUCCAUAAUAUCAACAAACCAUAUUGUUAAUAUUUAUUCUUAAAACAAGACAAGAAGAUGCUAAUGUAUGAGUGGUGAGGUGAGGUACAGUGAAACAAAAUAGAAUAUCAUAAUUUCAGAUCUCCGUAAUCCGAUGCCUUGAGAAAGCUCUCUCCUUGAAGAACCUCCAAACACCUGGAAAGUAGAAUUGCACGAGAGAUGCAUGUUUAAGAACAAUAAUAGCCUUUUAGAUAUUGUACUUGGGAGAACAUUUACAAGUUGACAAUUGUGGAAUGCAGCAAGACUGAGAAUAAAGUGGCCAUGGAUGUUAGUGGCACAACAUAAAGCAGCAGACAUAUUUUUGUUUGUUUGUUUGUGAGAUUUUGAAUUGCAUUGUGUUGUGUCCAAAGUUGGCCGAGGGAAGGAUCUUUCAUGAGUAUUGAUGGUUUCAUCUACACAAUUUGUUAUCCAUUGCUUGAUCAGAUUUGUGAGCUAUACCUCGUAUGCAUAUGCUGUCAUUCUUAUUCUGAAGUCAUAGCUUUGCAAUUGGGUAUAUGUUACUCAUUUCAUACUUGAAGUUGCAGGUUGCAGCAUCUUGACAUUGUUAACUCAGGUAUCGCCGGUUUCUCUGCUGCUUCCUUCUCUCAGAUGAAAAGGGAAACCAUCAGUCUUGUAGGCAUCUUCUUCAAAUGCAGUCACAGGAAGAUUAGUAAUGAGGACUGGCCCCUAGUUGUCAAUGUAUAGUUGAUAAUUACCUUGCCAUGGUCUGAAGUUCUGGGGAUGGAGAAAUAACAAGUCUCCUCUGCGAAUCUUCUUUCGAGCAGAUAAGUGAGCCCCUACCGUUGUUUGCGCAACAGCGCGGGUGAUCGACAGACGUUAGUUGCUUAUCAAGAUGGAAUUUCUCGCUGCAACAUGAACCGAAUCGUGUGUUUUGUUCUGAUGGCAAUCGCAACGUAAAGUAGCCGUGCUUUACCUCAAUGGCACCAAGCAUCUCCUGUCAUCAGCAUUGGUACUGCUAAUUGCAGUCCCAAAUUCGUCCACGUUGGGACAAUGUUGUGAGGGUACAGUCCAAUAUGCUUAUGCUGCUGCCGCCCCCCUGAUGCUAUCUGCAGGAUCGAUUGAAUAAACAUAUAAGGUUAUAGCUGUCCCUAAGCUGCUGAGUUCUCUCAAUCAGGCUUUGUCUUAUUGUCAGAUUCACGCAAUUUUGUAUCACCACUCAGCACUUCAGCAGUCAAGAAGAAGAGUAGUCGACGAGUUAUCGGAUACGAGGAGGUGAAAUGUGGAGUUGUUCUGUUCAAGAUGUCACACCCAAAAUGAGGAUGAAAAGAUUACAGAUGGUCCAGAGUUAGGCUUGUGGAGGAUUGAUCCAUGAGCAUAUGGGGAAAUUUAACACUUCAUGUGAAGCUGAAAUAUAUGGCUUGAAGGCUCAGAUACUAUUUCCCAAGUCGAGGUCUCCGCUCUCGGCAGAUGAUGAAUCUGCGGUGGUUCUGUGCUAGCUGUCAAAGGACCUGAAAGCUCAAGACCCAGGGAAUCGGAUCCUGAAAGAGCCUCACCUACACAAGGAGUGAGCACUGAACAGAGCAGUAGCAUCAAGCUUCUUGUGGGCACCAACACAAGGAGUGCCGCCCCUGGAAAGAGCUAAAGACCAGCUCCUUUCUGAGAGAGAGAGGCUAAACUAAAGGAAAAAAUCUAAAGAGGAGGCUGUGUCAUGGUGAAGCCUCCUCGGAGAGCGGGAUUCGGUUCAGACUGACUUCCACAAGAGAGAGUUGAUGUCCCAACAUGAAGGGGUCUCUGGUUUCGAAGAAGAGGAAGUGGAAGGGAAGGAUUUCGGCGAGAUAUUUAAAUGUGUGGAAUGUAUUUUCCACCAGCCUUGAGAUGGUAGUACCCCCUCCGUUUCAUAAUAAGUGUCGUGGUUUUAGUUUGGAGGGAGAGAGGACUUUGUUAGGUCUUCGUGUUUCGGCAUUUGAAUUGGAACAAACGAAAUGUACGAGAACUGAAAGUAGGAGAAUCAAAAGACUCACCUAUGUCUAUGUGUGGAGUCAACUGCAGAUUCACAUUAACUAGGGUUAAAUUGCA